AUUGAACGCUGGCGGCAGGCUUAACACAUGCAAGUCGAACGAGUGGCGGACGGGUGAGUAAUGCUUGGGAAUCGAGCUUAUGGAGGGGGAUAACUAAGGGAAACUGUAGCUAAUAACGCGUACAAUAGGAUGAGGCCAAGUGGGAUAAGGUAGUUGGUGAGGUAAAGGCUCACCAAGCCGACGAUCUUUCGCGGGUCGGAGAGGAUGACCUGCCACACUGGAACUGAGGCACGGCCCAGACUCCUACGGUGGGCAGCAUGGGGGAAUAUCGCGCAAUGGGGGCACCCUGCCGCACCCAUGCCGCGUGAAUUAAGCAGGCCUUCGGUUUGUAAAGUUCUUUCGGUAGCGAGGCGUUAACUACAGAAGAAGCACCGGCUAACUCCGUGCCAGCAGCCGCGGUAAUAC
rnacentral:rRNA from 1 species